rnacentral:rRNA from 1 species
UAUACUGCAGUCCGAGCGGACUUGAAGAGAAGCUUGCUUCUCUGAUGGUUAGCGGCGGACGGGUGAGUAACACGUAGGCAACCUGCCCUCAAGUUUGGGACAACUACCGGAAACGGUAGCUAAUACCGAAUAGUUGUUUUCUUCUCCUGAAGAGAACUGGAAAGACGGAGCAAUCUGUCACUUGGGGAUGGGCCUGCGGCGCAUUAGCUAGUUGGUGGGGUAACGGCUCACCAAGGCGACGAUGCGUAGCCGACCUGAGAGGGUGAUCGGCCACACUGGGACUGAGACACGGCCCAGACUCCUACGGGAGGCAGCAGUAGGGAAUCUUCCGCAAUGGGCGAAAGCCUGACGGAGCAAUGCCGCGUGAGUGAUGAAGGUUUUCGGAUCGUAAAGCUCUGUUGCCAGGGAAGAACGCUUGGGAGAGUAACUGCUCUCAAGGUGACGGUACCUGAGAAGAAAGCCCCGGCUAACUACGUGCCAGCAGCCGCGG